GUGCUUGCAGCACAUCUUCAAGCCCAGACAAUACUUCUAGACUGCUUAAGUGCUAAUAGUGUCAUUGAGCUCGUUUGCACCUUUCUCCAUCAGUUGCUUGUGUGCAUUUGCAGUUUUUUUCUGUAAACUGGGUGGUAGAGGCUCGCAUGUGAAAACAGCGAUCAGAGGCGUGCUCUCAGACAAAAGGACUGGCAUACAAUGCUUUCUGUAUAUAAAAUGAAAGCUCA
rnacentral:lncRNA from 1 species